UGGCAACCCGCUCCGGUGUCCUUCCAUGCUGUGGAGGCUCUGUUGUUUCGCUCUUUCUACUGCUUACUCUUCGGGUCCACACUGCUUUUAUGAGCUGUAACACUCACCCUGAAGGUUUGCAACUUGACUCCUGAAGCCAGCAAGACCACGAGCCCCAGGGAGGAACGAACAACUCCAGACGCGCUGCCUUAAGAGCUGUAACACUCACCGAGAAGGUCUGCAGCUUCACUCCUGAGCCAGCGAGGCCACGAACCCACCAGAAGGAAGAAACUCUGAACACAUCCGAACAUCAGAAGGAACAAACUCCAGACGUGCCACCUUAAGAGCUGUUAACACUCACCGCGAGGGUCCGCGGCUUCAUUUUUGAAGUCAGUGAGACCAAGAACCAACCAAUUCGGGACACAAUACCAACUCUUUCAUGCCAGGAGAAGCCUCCUUAAAAAAUUUCGGUGAUUAACAGCAGCACAUGGGUCAAAAUCUCCUGAAAGUUGAGCAGGGGAGCUGUAGAAGAAUUCCUCCUUUUCUCGCAGAUGAAAUCUUAUGAUAUAGCAGGGGUUACCUGGCCAAGAAGGAACACAGAGGAGAACAAAGAAAAUUCAAGGAACUAAAUUCCUUCUCCACCUCAACCACCAGCAUUGAUACUCCAUCACUUAUGUACUGCAUCAAGCCGUCCUCAGAGGUGAGGAAGGUGCUGUCAAGACUAGAAGCAUGUGUCCCUCUCUCCAUUGCAAGAUGGGACAUAGAGAGGAGAAAAGUGGCAGACAGAAGGUUGGUAGAAAGCAGGUGUCACCAUACUGCUGUACACACAAACUGUUAGGCCUAGAUUUUGCUUUCUCCUUCUUGCUUUAAGCCUCUAUCUAGUUUCCCAAAUCCUGCUGCUUUUGCGUCAAUGGUAGGAAAAUAUUAGCCAUGAUAACCCUUCAAACACCCUUAUAAGGCUGUGAAUUGAAUGUACCAAGGGAGGUAACUUUAUUGGAGUUGUCUCUGAUAAGGGACAACUCCAAUAAAAUUAAGUAAAAAUAUUAAGAUUAUUGUUGAUCUUGAGCCAAGAAAAUGCAGGGGAAACAAUGGAAAAAUACCUUUAAAUAAUGAAAACAAAAAUAAAAUAAGAGCUGGUCUACUCACUACUUCAUCCCAUCUCGUCUGUAAAAUAAUACCAUCAGAAAAGUGUUCAAAAUUCUCUGUAGUCAAGGACUUCUCCUGCUGGUUAGAAUGCAAAAUAAUAUGAAAGACUUUUGAUCCUCUAGUAAUAUACAAGUGUAUAUAUAUUUUUUGAGACAGGGUCUUGCUUUGUUGUCUAAACUGGAAUGCAGUGGUAUGAUAUUGUCUCACUGCAGUCUCUGCCUCCUAGGCUCAAGCAAUCCUCCUGCCUCAGCCUCCCAAGUAGCUGGCACUAUAGGCAUAUGCCACCAUGCCUGGCUAAUUUUUUUAUUUUUUUGUAAAAACAGAGUUUUGCCAUGUUGCCCAGGCUGGUCUUGAGUUCCUGGGCUCAUGUGAUCCACCUGCCUUGGUCUCCCAAAGUGCUGGGAUUACAAGCAUGAGCCAGCACACUCAGCCUACAUUUUUCAAUAUGCAUGAAAUUAUAUGGUUUGGAUGUGCUCAUUUUACUAUAUUAAAGUAUAUUUCAAUAAAAAGCCAGUAGGCAUGAAAACAUAAUAUUCUUUCAUUUUUGUCUUCAUCUGAAGUUUCAAGUUAAAAAGCAGGUUAUUCAGUAAAAGAAAAUUGCAAUGUUCUUCUCCAGUGCCAAUUAACCAAUCUCCUCAGACAGAAAUAUCUUCAGAUGGUGCUAAUGCAAAUCUCAAUUUAAAAUCAUUUUAGAAGACUGAGACCAUGCCCACAAAUGCUUCAGAAUGGGAGGUGCCAAGACUUUCAAUCACACAAAACCCUGGCACUUACUUUGUUGUGUUAUAAUCCAGUCUUUCUGCACCUAAGCUUCCUUCAUAAAAGACAAUCCAGCAUCAUGGUUAAAACACAGACUUUCUACCACUACUACUUACAUUCUUGGUGACAGUGGGCAAUUUAGCAGACUUCUCUGUGUUUUAGUUUCCUCAACUUUAAAAUGGGCACUGUUAUAGGUAUAAUUGUGUCCUACAAAAAGAUGUUGAAGUCCUAACCUCCAAUACAUGUGAAUAUGACCUUAUUUAGAAAUAGAGUCUUUACAGAUGAUCAAUUUAAGAUGCGGUCAUUAGGGCAGGUCCUAAUCCAAUAUGACUAGUGUCCUUAUAAUAAGGGAAAUUUGGACUCCAGAGAUAGAUAUAUACCAAUGAGAGACAAUGUGACACAGGGACCACACCUACAAAUCAAGGAACAUCUGAGGCUACCAGAAGUUAGGAGAGAGGUCCAGAACAGUGCCACAUAGCCCUCAGAAGGAAUCAACUCUACCAGCACCUUGAUUUUGGGCUUUUAGCCUCCAGAACUGUGAGGCAAUAAAUUUCCGUUCUUUAAGCCACCCAGUUGUUGGUACUUUAUUAUGGCAGCCCUAGGAAAUUAACAUAGGGAAUGAUAUGGUUUGGCUGUGUCCCCACCCAAAUCUCAUCUUGAAUUAUAGCUCCCAUAAUUCCCACAUGUUGUGCGAGGGACCCAGUAGGAGAAAAUUGAAUCAUGGGGGCAGUUUCCCCCAUACUGUUCUCGUGGUAGUGAAUAAGUCUCACAAGGUCUGAUGGUUUUAUAAGGGGAAACACCUUUGGCUUAGCUCUCUGAUUCUCUCUUGCUGCCUCCAUGUAAGAAAUGUCUUUCACCUUCCACCAUGAUUGUAAGGUCUCCCCAGCCACCUGGAACUGAGUCCAUUAAACAUAUUUUUCUUCCCAGUCUUAGGUAUGUCUUUAUCAGCAGCAUGAAAAUGGACUAAUACAGGGACCAAUGAUUGCAUCUACCUCAUGGACUUUUUAUGAGAAUUGACUGAUUUAAUAAAUGUAAAAGACUUAGAACACUGCCUCAUCUAUUGUAAACAGUCAAUAAAUAUUAGUAUCAAUUUUCAUUGAAUCCUAAUCAGUAUAACUAUAAUGUUACAUUCAUGAAUAAGACAAAGGCUGGGACAAAAUAAAUGAGACACUUCACUCAGACCUCUUCAUUGUUUUCCCAGUUGUCAUCCUUUGCACCUAGUUCUGUAAUUAAGAGAGUCUUCUCAGCUUUUUCUUAAAUCAUGUAUUUUCCUCUAGUAUGGCAACUUUAUAAUAUGUUUCCCCCACUUGAAAAUGUUUCCUCCUUUUUCCCACAGUCCAAUCCCCCCAUUAACCCAACCAUCUCUCACAUACAUACCAAUUUUAGGUCCCAAAUCUCUCAGAUCUCACCCUAUUCACAAACCAAAACUUUAUCAGAAAGAUCUAAAACACUUCCCCCAAAGGCAUUUUUAAUCACCAAUAAGGUGUUCUCACUUUCAAGGAUAGUAUAAUGUGAAUGGACAUCAAAGUCUUAAGAUCAAGAAUAUACUCUACUAUUAAAGAGUUCUAACCAUAAGCUAGUGGUUAAUACAGUUUUAGAGGGAAGAGGAUAAGGAAAGCAGACAUUGUCUUUCCUCUUUCCUAAACUUUUCCCAGGUCUAGAUCUACCUCCUAUCAAUUUUGCUACUUUGGUAAACAAACUCUUGGCAUAAAUUCUACCAAAGCACACUUUGGUCUUUAACUUUCAUAGUAGAAGGGAUAGAACAAGUAUCUCUCACCUAACAGAAAUCCACUUAAUGGAAUUUAAAAUCAAAGAAUGUGAUUGAUCCACCAAUUAUUUAAAUACCAACUUGAGUAUACUGAAUGUAAACUUCCAGUGCUGCCAUGUGGACUCUGCCAUCUUGUCCCUACUGCAUGCAGGUCCCUUAUCUAUCAAUGGCUUAGAAAUGACCAAACUCUUAACAAUCAGAACUUUGCAAAUCUUAAAUAAAAACUGUUUUACAAACACCCCAAGACACAUUACAAAUCAAGAAAACUGAAAAUCAUUUUAUAGAAUGCAUAACCCUCAUGGUCCCAGCAGAAAACAGGUGGCAUGCUAAAAUUGGGCAAUUUAAGGAGGAUUUAAUUAAAGAACUAUUUGUAAAGAUGUGGGCAAGAUAUAUGGGAAACAUGAAGGAUG
rnacentral:lncRNA from 1 species